CAAUGAAUUUGUAAGGCGUAUUUGGACGGCGUUCUGAUAUACAAGUUAUAUUUGCAAGAAGAUAGAGAGAACAAGAAUCGACUAUUUCAAGAAUGUGAGUACAAACUCUGUUCUUUGUUGAAGGCGGUCGAUGGCCCUCAGAAUUUGUCUUUGUGAAUAUGGAUGCUUCGCCUUAUAGUCUCCUUCAAUCACUUUUUGAUCAUGAACACCAUGUUGGAAUACUUGAUGAGGAA